UCGACGGAAGAGGGGUGCUUCGCGCGCAUCGGCAACCGGAACCGGUCACCAGCGCGGCGGGGCUGAGAGAGACCCUUUGCACCCGAUCCGGGUAAUACCGGCGAGGGAAGUUUCGGAGAAUGCGCG
rnacentral:ncRNA from 2 species